GUUUAUUAGAAAAUAUAUGGUAAACAAAUUAAUUAUAUAAAGCAUCAUGACAAUGCUAGCUUAAUGUCCCAUAAUAACGAAGAAGGAAUUCAUCGCUAUAUAUUUAGUAGAUCAGCGAGGCAUUCCAUAUUUUUGAGCAAGUAAAGAACUUUAUUUCCACUUUGGAUUAAUCAAAUUUAAGGUAAUUGAAAGAAAUCUAUCAUUCCCUUUUCUAUAAAGUUGCAACAUGGACAGAAUGUGGAUGUGAAAGUUUUUGCUAUACUAGAAUGUAUUUACUUCAAUCACCUGAUUAGCUUCUUACGUGGACCAAAGCAACUAGAAUAUAAUUUGACUUGGAUGCGAAUGGUUCUUUAAAUGGCUAACCAAAACCCUCUGGUAUUGAUGAAUAUAACAGAAUUAAAUGUGACUGAGGUUUUGACAAUUAAAAAAUCUUUUUAAAUGAGUAUUGAUUGUUCCUAUGCAAUUACUAGAAGCUGGAUUGUGGAGUAUAAUGCCAUUACUAGAAGCUUAUUGGCUAUAAGAGAUAAUUAAUGAAGUUAUCUUUAUUGGCAUAUGGAAAAAACUAGAGAGUAUUUAUGCUUCCAGACCCAUGACUAAUCGUUUUCUUUUGAAGUGAGAUUUGUACUCUUGAGGAUGGAUGAAGGAAUGUGUAUACACAAGAGUUAAAAGGUUGACAACACAAGUAGUCAAUAUUAGAAAAAAAAUUGAGGAUAAAGAGCGAAACCUCAUUCUACAAGCCAUUGGUGCAAACAAUACUAGUUAAAAGGAAAUAACUUUAGGUUUAAAUGAUGCAGCUACAAUCUUAUUGGAGAAUGAUAGGUUUUGAAGGUAGAAAACAAUGUCAAAAGUUAACGAGGCAUUGGUUAUGGGAGGUGGUCCUGUAAUUUACCAUGAAAGAUGGGAGCAAAGAUGAUGAUGUUAUCAUGGAUCAUAAAUAUUGUAAAAAGGUUUUGAAAAAUUCAUGGAUUGUAGAUUUUGCAUGCUGCUUUCAUAGUUAUUUAAAGAAAUAAUGUUUUGAUACUUACAAAGAAAAUGAUGGAGAUUCUAUGUUGCUAGAAUUGAUAAUGUUAAAAUUAAGAUAUAUAAUGGAGCAAUGAAAACCCUUUGUGAUGCUAGGACUUAGGCACAUGCAAAGACUUACAAGAAAGAAAGUUUGUGAAACUGAAAAUGUUACCAUUUUGAGAACUUCUACUUCCUGCGAUUUGUUCCAUACACCUCUCGCAGCAUCAUCCUCAUGCUUGUUCUGAGCAAGGACAAGCAAAGACAGUAUUAAUUUGUAAGUAUACAUUCGAAACUGAAUUUGAAUGUAUUUUCUUGAAAUCAGUUUUUGUAAUGUUAAAGGUUGUCCUUUUCAUUAUCAUUUUUUGCAAGUAUAUAUAUAUGAUGAUUAAUUUGGAGUAUGAUCCCCCGUGAUGUUCAAGAGCAAUUGCAAGCCCAUUAAUUGACUUUGGUGCAUAAGGUCAGUUUUUCGAAAAGGCUCAGCAUAUAAGCAUACCAUUCCAUCUGACUUUGGUGCUUCAAAGCGUCCGCCUCGCAAUAAUUUCGCAACAACACCAGAUGGUUUCAACUUUUCAUUAUUAACAAUCAUUUUAUCCACCCGCAUGUCACUCACUAGUGCAUGCAUUAUCUUCGAACGGCAAUACAUUGCAGCCAAGUGCAAAGGUGUAUUUCCAUCGUAAUCCUUCUCAUUUAUAAGAGCUUCCAGAUCUCGAUUUCUCAAUAUUUCAUCCACUAUUUUCAUCUGUCCACUCCCCGCUGCAACGUGAAGAAUAUUCUGUCCUUUUUCGUUGAGAAAAUCCAUUGGAUCGAACCAAUAAGUAAGUAGUUCGUGUACUACUUUAAGAUGGCCCUUCUGGCAUGCAACAUGGAUGGGUAAGUUGCCUUCGUCGUUUGUUUGUGAUGCGGCAACAGGACAUCGACUAACCAGGAGUCUUGCUCCAGAAAGGAAGUCCAUUGAUGCUGCAAGAUGAAGGAGAUUUCCCCCUUUUAUGUCCUCGGGAAGCAUUAUAUCCGGCUUGCCGACCGCUAGUUUUUCUAGUGCAGCAUAAUUUAAAAAUUAGAUAAUCAAUACAAAAAUCACAAAAUGCAUGGAAAUUAAUAACUUGAAUUUUAUGCUUUACAUAAAAUGACAUGAUGAAGAAUCAGUUUUAAUGAGACCAAUAAUUAUAAGUGUAACAUGUUAUUUUUCACGUCGAAAUGAUGAUAACAUGUAAUUACCUAAAUUUCCUUCCGGCAUAGCUUCUAUAAAAGAAGCAAGCAUCUCCUCGUCGCAACUCUCUACUGCCAAGUACAAGGGAGACUUGUCUUCCUUGUUCUUGAGGUAGGAAACUUCUAGGUCUUCAUUAACGAGGAAACGGGCCACCUCUCGGCAACCCUUGAUGACUGCAUCGUGCAAAGGGGUGUUUCCUUUAUUAUUCUUCAUCCUCAGCAAGCUAGCAAGUUCAAGUGUUUUAUGAGGAUCGAUUUUCACAUGCUCGACGAGAUUUUUAAUUGUGUCAGACCGUCCAGCCCUGGCAGCCAGAUGAAGAGCAUUAUCACCCAGGAAAUUUUUCCUGGUGAUUAGGAGGGGGAAGUGAUGACACAGUAGCUGUAUCACACCUUCGCUUCCAUGGCUUGCUGCCACAUGAAGCAGUGAAUUUCCAGAGGCAGCAACAUGUUUGAAAAUCAUAUCGAGCACUUCCUCUGAUGAAACAUGUUCCAGUUUAUCGGACAAGAGACCAAACAAGGCAUUGAAGUUGUCUUCCUUUGCAUAGGUAUAAAGCUCCUUCUUCAGUAUUUUAUUUGGCUCAGAAAAACCAUACUCUGCAUUCCGAACUGGGAAUUUAGCUGCCUUCCAUCGUUCAAGCUCCAUUUGUACUGGUCUCGGCAUAUCUAUUUGUAAGUGCUCCAUCUCUUCUUGAGUGACUUAACUUUGCUGCGGUUGUAUCUGUGGUAAUUACAUGUCUUGUUAUUUGGCCAAGCAAACUAAAGAAUUCAUAGAAAACAUGAAUGCAAGAGAUAUGCUAUUUAAAGGAUUGGUGAGAGAAACGUACAUUAGCUACAUAAUUUUUCUCAAUACAAUUAUUUAGGAGCAUAUAUAUAAAUGUUUAAAUUCAAGUCAAAAUCAAGCUGCUAAAACAUUAGUGUAUUUAAAAAUGUGGUUGCAGUUAUUUUUUAAAAUAUUUUUUAUUUAAAAAUAUAUUAAUUUUAAUAUCAGCAUAUCAAAUGAUCUAAAAAAAUAAAAAAUAUAUAUUAAUUUAAAGUUAAAAAAAAUUUAAAAAUCAAUUUUUUCUAAAAUAUUUUUAAAAUAAAAAACAAUUAGUAUCAAAGUCAAGUUAAUGCCAUUUUUUUAUAUCCAAGUCCAAGAAUAACUAUGGGUUUGUGUAUUGUAUUUAUAAAUAAAAUAAUAUUUUAUGACUUUUAAUAUAUUUUCUAACAGUAUUAUAUAAACAAAUAAAUUAUAUGCAUAAAUAUAUCAAAUUGAUAUAAAUUUGAUUAGCGCAAAUAACUGAUGCCAGUUUGUUAAGAAUCUUAAAAAAUAAUUCUCAUAAUAUAAAGGAGGUUUAGCCAAUUACCUAUGCCACAGGCACGCACGCUGGUCGACUAGUUACUGUCUUCCUCUGCCUUCACCUCUGUUCUUGCUUUUCUCUGAUCGGUUACUCCCCUGGUCGUCCUCCUCUUUGCCCAGGGAUCAGUGUUAUAAACUGUGAAUGUUUUUGUCUGUAUCGCGAAUUACUGUAGAAAUGUUUUUCUCGUGUAUUGUACUGUUUUGGGUUUGACAAUUGCUAAAAGCACUGUAGUUAGGGAGACAUAAUGAUAGAAAAUGAUCAAUUUGAAUUUUGGUGAAGUCGGACGACCAGGCUGCAGAUAUCUACUGCUCGGCACGAUCCAGAUAAGAAACAGCUGGCGUUAGGGCCAGUCAGCAAGCUCAUUAGUACCGGACUACAAACACUUGUCAUUGGGUUCAUACCCUAAGCGCUAGAUAAACUCGCACGCCUUGCUGAAGACAUGAUACGCGGGUCUGUAGACCAUCAUGCAUACUGUAAUUAAUGUGAUUUUUUAUAUUAUAUAAAAUUACAUGCAAAGGGAUUGGCCGGCUGGGCCUGACACCAGGCACGCAACAAUCGUGCCUUUUCUUCCUCAGUUCGUUCCUCCUGGUGUGUUCUGUGUGUUUCGUUCCCCUGCUGUGGUCUGUUCGUGGGCUUUCUCUGUUCUUUUCGUUCUCUCCGUUCGUCCUCUGGUUCUCUCAGGAAAUUCCGUCUUUUUGUUUUUUAAUUUCGCCCCUGGAUUUUAGUGCCAUAUACAAAACAGUCCCUUAAUUUCUGAAUGUUUCAAUUCAGUCCUUAAUUAAUUCUUCAACUUUUAAUUCUUUCAAAAUUACACCUAGAAAGAUCAAUUAAACUCCCUACAGUAACCCCACCUUUUCACUUUGAUCCUUAAUCUUUAAUUCCUUGCAAUUUUGACCCAAAUGAGCCCCAAACUUUGGUAUUUUUUAAAUUAAGCACUUGAUUUCAUUAAUUAAACUAAUUUUAAGUUUAAUUAAGUCCCAAAACAUAUGAAUUCUUCAAUUAAGCGCUUGAUUUGAUUAAUUAAACUGAUUCAAAGUUUAAUUAAGUUCUAAAACUUUCAAUUUAUGUUGUCUUGACCCAAAUUUCAAUUUAUUCUUUUAUUUUUUUCAUCAUCAUUUUUUAUUCUCAUUUUUAUUAUUUUUAUAAAAAAAAUAAAACAAAAUAAAAUAAAAAUAGUAAAAAAUUGGGUUAUGAAAAUAAAUGUAAAAUCAGUCACUAUCAUCAUCGCCAUCACCAUCACUCAUUAUUAGGGAUUUUCUUUUAUGACUCAAAUAGAAAAAGGCCUUAAACAGUUAUGAUAGGCUUAUAGACUCAAUAGAACAUAUAUAAAAUAUGUGUUUCAUAUGCAAGAUUCUUUCGACCAUGUUUUGAGGAUAUACCUAGAUGUGAUGCCAUAAUUUUGAUUUCAAAUCUAUUAUUGGCUUUUAGAAUCUUUGUACAAAGCUCAUAGCUUAGUUUUGAAUAAACAUACAAGCCACGAAAAGCUCUAUCUAGGUGGAAGGGUACUAUACUACCUAAUAUAAAGGGUAUCACAACAAGAGAACAACCCAGAAGGACGAACCAGAAUAGUAGGACUGUUAUUCCCCUGUUGCUUCUCAAAGAAACAGAAAAACGCGUAAGAACUAGAGAAGAUAAGGACGAAAGAGAAAGAAAAAACACGGGGAAAAAGGACUAAGGAGCACAAAACAGAGAAAACUAGAGGAGAAAACAAAUAAAAAACAAAAAGGAAGAGAAGAGAAUCUUCCAAAGCCAGUGUUAUUCCCAGUCUUUCGCCUCCAGCAACGUUUGCAGAUCAGGUAAGUUUUUUGUUCCCUCCUUUUUUAUUUUUCAUUACAAAGUUACUGUGCAGCUUGAAUUUAAUUAAUUCUUCACUGUGCACACACGUGUUGUGUGAGCCUCCUGCUGGCCAGCUGGGUCCAGCCCAGCCACAUAGGCUGAGCUGGGCCAAGCUCAAAUAAAUAAAAAUAAUAAAAAAUAUGUAUGAAUGAAUAAAAAUAAUAAAAAUAAUAAAAAUUUAUUGGUUUAUUCACUGACACCAGAAUUAGGAAUAAAAAUACCGGUUUAAAUUUAUAUUAUUUUUAUUCAUUAUAUUUUAUUUUUUUAGCUAGAAAAAUAAAAAAAAAUAUGUGCAUGAGUAAAAAUAAAUUUAUUUUUAUUUAUUUAUUCACUGAUGUUAGAGUAAAAAAUAAAAAUAUUAAUCUAAUUUAUUUUAUAGCUACGUAAUAUUUACCGACGCCUCAGACAUAACGUUUAAAGGGUGAUAAUAUUUUCCCUUUUACAUAACCAGUCUCGAACCAUAUAAUCUUUGUUGACCAGUUAGGGUUUUUAGUGACCAUAAUACCAUAGUGACGACUCCUUAAAUAAUACCUUUUUUCUAAAAAAACACAAUGCUAGAUAUCUGUUUUUUUUUCUAUAAUUAAAAAAAAAAUUUAAAGCCGUUGUGAUAUUAGGUGUGACAACAUGUCCUACAAUAAAUUUUACUUGGAAACUAUCUUUCUCUCACACCUUACAUGCUCUUCUAUGAAUAAAAUUGUGUAAACUUAAGAAAAUUAGUGUUUAAGCUCAAAAAGGAUAAGGGACAUGAUGUUGAUACGUUAUAAAGAAAGUAUAAUUCAACAAAGCUUUAAAGUUUCAAUUGAUUCAAAGAAUGCCUAAAUAAUUUCGUAAGUAACAUUUUAUUCAAGAAACCAUGAGCAUCAUCAAACAACUUUUAGAGUUUGCUAAGAUAAUAUAAAUUUACAAUAUUCACAUAAAAUUUCUCUAGGUAUGCAGAAUAAUUAUUGAUCUUGAUGACCAUUCAUUGAAUAUAGAAAAUCUUAAAUUAAGCAAAAUCAAGUCAAGAAUUAACAAAAUAGACUCAGGCAAUAAGAUAUUUUCCUGAAAACUAUAAUAAAUUUCAACCAUAUUUCUCCAUGCUUUAGAAUACAUUUUACAACACUUUGAUCAUUAUUAUUAUUAUAAGACCACACGCUGCUUCUUCUUCUUCGAUAAAUAAUUACGAAGGUGGUUUGUAGCAUUCAAGCUACAUAUUAGGAUAAUAUUAAGAACUCUGCUUCUUCUUCUUCUUCUUUUCUUGAUCGAAUUUUCGCUUCUUAUUUUUUAGUACCUCUUGAUGUCGUGUGCAAUUGUGCGAAUCAUUAAUUUGUGAGACCAUGUCUUGCUCAUAAUUCAUAACGUAGAUGUUUUCCACAGCAUUACAUAAUCGUAAUGUAAAUGAGAUUUUCAAGCAAAAAUCACCAUAGAAAUCGUUAUAAGACAUGGCACAUGUUUUGUUAAUCAAACGGAAAUACGUACAAGUAGAUUUCCCUUUCUGUGAACAGUGUAAAGCCAUGGCACAUGUUUUGUUAAUCAAAUUCUUGUAUUGAAGUUCGAGAGCAAGUGGGGGACAUGAUAGCUUUCCUUGACUGUAAUCAAGUCGUGGGUUAGAGGCAAAGCAAAGGGAUGAUGGCUUUUCUCAUGGAAAGGACAAAAAUCAAGCACUCCUUCGUGUUCCAUACCCAGGACAUUCAAUUCCAAACGUGCUAAUUAACCUGCUAAUCCCUUACAAUCAAUGGAUUACGUCAUCUUUUUUUUUUUUUUUCACGACUCCAACACCUUCAUUUUCCUCGCAAGUUUCCUUAGUUACACGAGGAAAAUGAUAAAUAAUAAAGUUAAAAACAAUAAGAAGAAAAAAACUUCAACAGAAUUGUGAACUAUAUGGUAAUUUUAAUGAAUUUAGUAUAUUUUAAUUUUUUUUAAUACCUAACAUUAUGAAUUAUAUUUCUCAUGGCCAUAUAGCUUAUACGUUUAUUUAAAAAUAUAAUAGAUGUUAUUUUUUAAAGUGUUUUUUUAAAAAAUAUAUAUUAAAAUAAUUAUUUGUUUUAUUUUUUAAUAUUUUUUUAUACCAUAUAUUACCAUGAUAAAAAAUAAUUUAAAAUAAAAAAUUUAUUUGCAGAUUUUUUUUCUUUUUUUUUCUAGGAUAAUAGGGAUUUUUAAGUUUCGCAGCCUACUUGGAAAAUUCAGCGGAAAACGUGGACUUCCAUACCCAUUCACGCCGAACCGACUUUCGCCGUCCAUGCUACACAAUUCUUACCAUGAUGUUCAUGAUUUGAUGUUUUGAUGUCUCGGUGCAAUGAAUUUUAGGACCCUUUCAGCCUCUGCUAAGAUGCUUUCAAACACUUUGAAUUGCAUCCUGUUUGCAUUUUGUUUUGAAAAGUGGGUUUUUUGAAAAGUGGGUUUUUUGAAAAGUUAAUUCCUAAAAGUUAAAUUAUUUUUUAUAUUUGAUAGUGUUAUGAAAAAUAAAUUGUAAAAUAUUUUCUAGUGUUUGAUUAUGUUAUAGAAAAUAAACUAUAAAAUAAUUUAUUAAUUAAUUAAAUUUUUUUUUCAAAUUUAUUUAAUAUAUAAAAAAUAUUAAAUAUAAAUAUUUAAUCACUUACAAUAAAAGAAUAAAAUCUAAAAAGUGUAAUUUUUUUUAUUAUAUCUUAUAUUCAUAUAUAGCUUAUUUUAUAAAAUAUAACUAUAUAUGUCAUAUAAUAUUAUAGAGAUAAAACUUGUGAAAUUUUUAAAUAAAACCUAUUAAUAUUUUUUUUCAAUUUUAAAAGCUUAAAAUAUGUUUUUUUUUUCAUAUGAAGAAAGCCAAAUUAGUUUAUGGUAUUAAGUAGUUAGAUAUUUGGGUUUUUUGGUAUGAAGAUUUUUUAAAAUAAAUAAAUACAAAAAUAUUUUGAUGGGUUUUUUGGAUAAAUAUUUUUUUUUUUGUCGGGUAUAGGCAAUUAUCCUUUAAUAUCCCUUUAAUAUAUAUCAAAUAAGCAUUAAGAAAUAAAUAUAACUUAUCAAACAUAGUCAUGUAAAUAUUAAGUUUUAUGUAUCAUACAUAUAUUAGUUCAAAUUAACAAACAUAAACAUGCUAGACCGAAUUAAAAAGUAAACAUACUUGUCAAAUAACAAACAUAAACUUUUUAUCAUAGUGAAAUCAUCUUAGCAAUCAAGCAUGUAGUUGGUUGGUUCACAAAAUUCUAACCCAAAUUUUCCUCAAAUUAGCAUUUUUUGCCAUAAAUGCUUUUGCCAACAUUUCAUUUUGGACCAAGUGAUCAAAUGCAUCCCCAAGAGUGAUCUCAUCAAAGCCUUCAUUUUUACUUCUGUAUAGCUCAUUAACAUCAAGUUGAUUUUUGUUGAGGCUUUGAAUUGCAAAUGCUACAUCUCCAAUCUUUUAGACAACUUUUCAACACCAUAUCAUCUUCAUACAUGCGAUUUCUCUUCCUAUAUUGCCUCUUUUGUGCACUAGAGGAAGAUGUCUCUUUUUUUUUGAAGUUUCUUCAUAUUCCCCUUCAUUUUCAAUUGAAAUUGAUUGCUCUUCAGUGUUCUCUUCCAAGUUGACAUCAGCAUAUUAUUUGCAUAAUUUCCGGUUGCCAUGUCUUUUCCAACAACAAUUGUCAUUGCCUCGUACAUAUCAAGUUUUUUGUUGAGAUACUUGUCAUGAUUGGGAUGUGCCUGUUCAUAAAGUUUAGAAUAUGCAAUUUUUUUAGUUCCUUGUAUAACAUUUUGAAACAAAAGUAAAUAUAAAAAUUACAAAGAGUAUAAUAUUUAUCAUACAUUCUUCUUCAUCAUAUAAUCUUUCGAAACUGUAAUCAUCUUCAAACAAUCAUCAUCCAACCAAAGCCACUUUUAUUUUUAAGUUUGGUUAUUAUUCCCAUUUUUUUUUCACAGUUUGAGAUGAUUGUCACAUGCUUAGGCUCGCAUUGACGUUGAACUUUUGACUAAUUUCUGUAGCCACCUUAACAAAAGAUUCUGCUCUAAAGGUGGAAGAAGGUUUGUUUCAUUUAAGUGCAUCCUCAGCUAAUAUCUCAAGUAGCAUGUAAGACAUAGCUUAGACCAUGUAAAGUGCUUGCCCUUACAUUUUCAUUCUGUGUGGUACUCAUUUCUAAAAAAAAAAAAAGUUACAAAUUUAUACAAAAUAUAUCAUAUAAUAUUUAGAUUUAAAAACUACAAUUAAUAUUUAAAAGAUAAUACAUAAAAUACAUAAGAAAUUAUAAUAAAGUCAACAAACAAUCCAAAUACAUAACAAAGAUAAUACAAACUCAAGCAAGACAUAAUAAAAACAAACACAUAUAAUUAACACUCAAUUACUAGUUUCUUUGAGUGUUAUAAUCAUUUCUCUUUUUGUUAUCCACUCCAUAUUAUCUUCCCUUUCCUCCCGUUGACUUAAGUUGAUUGUUCGUCUAAUUGGUUCACUUUCCGAACAUAUUUCUUCCAUAAAAAAGUCAUUUAGAUCAACUUCCAUAAUGCGAUUAUGAAUAAUACAACAUGCAAGCACAACAUCUACUUGUGUUUCAUAAGGCCAAAAAGAUUUUCCAUCAAUUGAUCUAAAACGACUCUUCAAAAUACCAAACCCUCACUUAAUAACAGUUCUCAAAGAAGAGUGUCGAAGAUUAAAUAACUCCUUUUUCAUUUUCUGGUGAAUGAUCUGUAAACUCGUUCAAGUGAUAUUGAACUCCAUGAAAAGGAGAAAUGAUUCCUUUUUGAAUACCGUAACCAGCAUUACCAAGAUAAUAUUUCCCUACAAAUUAGAAAAAAAAGAAGAACCUAUUACUAACUUUAGCUAAUUAAACAUUUUAUAUGUUUAUUGCAUAUAAUAAAUACUUUAUUAUAUACCUUCUGGAAUUUUUAGACCAUUAGGUUUUGAUAAUGCAUCACCUAAAACCCGUGAAUCAUGUGCACUUCCUUCCUAACCAACUAAAACAUAUAUAAACUUCAAAUAAAAAGUUUUAGCUUCUAAAACAUUUUGUGUUGUUCCUUCUUUUCAACCUCAAAACUUUUCUUGAAUCUCAACAUGAAUAUUUGCAUGAACAUGGGUACCAUUAAUUGCUCCCACACAAUUAAUUUAUAACCUUUUCCUCUAAAUGUAAUUAAUUAAUUUAUAAAAAUAUUGGUAUUGUUCUCAUACCUUAAAUUAAGGAUAGAAUCUUUGAUUAUUUAUUAUCUCUGCGGGAACUGUAUUGUGCCUGAGUCUUUAAUUAAGUGUUUGUAUAACUUAAGAACUGCUUUUAAAACAAUUCUAAAGUAACAAUGGAUAGUUUCAACAUACCUAUAGUAUAUACCACUAAUAAAAUGAAAUCUUUGGUUUUGGCCUACAAUUUACAAGAAUACAAUUACUUGCUCUCUAAUAGACACAUUUUGAGUUGAUUGUAAUAGGUCAUGACUUGUGAGAACAUCACAUAUUUUAUAUAAGACAACUGGUUUCAUACGAAUUUGUUCAACGCAAUGUCUAUCACCUCGAUUCAAAAUGCUAUCCAUAUAGAAUUAUCGUUGAGCAAUUGCAUUUAUAUGUGGUUCUCUUGGUAUAUAAUUUCUAUUUCUUUAUUGUUCAAUAAUAGCUACCCCUGUAGCUAUCACAAUUACAACUGCUCCCAUACAUGCUGCAUGAAUAAUUUUAUUAUCCAUAACAAAAAAGUGAAGUUUUCUGCUAACAAAACCUAAACAUUUAGGGAAAUAAACAUUAAAAAAGCAUAUAAAAUACUUACAUAAUCAAUACAAUAAAUUAUGCUCAAAAUUAUGUGCAAAGAAGCUGAUUCCCAACACAAACAAUGCCUUAAAAGAAAUAAUUAUAUAAUGAAUUAUGCAUCCCUUAACAAAAAAUACAAUAAUUUAUUAAUGAAUUAUGUAUAAAAAUAUUAAUGGACUCAAGUUUUCUACCCAAACCAUUUCAGUUUUUUAUAACUGUGUAUAAUCAUCAUCAUCAAUGCACAUAAUAUUUCACUGUCUAAUAUUUCUACCCUAAUCAAUUCUUGAACAAUUACUGUCGCACGUCAAAAAAAAUUCCGCACGGCAUCGGCUGGCGAUUUUUCAUUCUCUUUUGCUGAUUUGGAUUUUUGGAGUCGCCACCUAGUAAUUCAUUGAGGGCUACUAGGAAACCUGAUGUACUGGUCUUGUCAGAGAUCGCGGGUAAGGGACUGGUUGUGGUUAGGGAAUGUAUUAGCACCCCUAACGCACCCUACCUGAGGUAAGCUGCUUCGUAGAUUUGAUGUGCCAAAGAAGUUUUAAAAUUUGGUUCAUUCAUCGAAUUUUAGAAAAUACAACUUAUAUGUAAGUUCAUAAUUCUUUGUCCGUGAACAAAUCAAAAUAUUAAAUUCUUUUUUAUUCUUGCAAUUUUAUCAUAAUAAUAAAAAAAAAUCAUUCAUAAACAAAAUACAUACCACAUUCACUUUCAAGCUUCGUGGACUUGAUGUGAUUUUAAAAAUAAAAUUUUAGCUCAAUUCUUAAGCUUUGAUAAAUCAGUUAUUAGUUCCCAGAAUAUAUGUAGAUACAUGUUCUACAUUUUUUAUGGAAAAUACAACAUGAUUUUUAUCUGUCCUUUAGAUAUUUGUGCAUAUAAAUUAAAUUCAUUUUUUUUAUUCAAUAACAUACAUAAAAAAAAUACAAGCACACACAAACAUUUCUUUUUUCUUUUUUUUUAUUAUCACUUUAUCUUUCUUUUCUUUUCUUUUACAUCCACAUUUACAUAAAAUACAAACUAUAAAAAAAACUCAAAAUUACACAAAUAUUACAUUAAACAAUUUUACAAUUACAAAAUAAUCAAAAACUACUCAGAACAGUGGCAAACGGAUUUCUGGAGUUGCGGAACAGUGUUCAGUAGAUUUUUUUUUGGGCUCGGGAAUAAUGGCGGCGCGUCUCCCCACGCGCCAACACCACUGGCAGCGUGUGGGUUCACGCGCCGCCUCAGAAAAAAAUAGCAACAAGGGGUGGCCUAGAUCGACUCCUUCCUUUCGCCCUUUCCUCGCCGGUGUUGACCUGAAAAACAAUAAAAAACGCAACCAGCAAGUCUGUUUUAGUCCAGAUCCAUUCUCAGAUUUUUUCUUUUUAGAUCUGUGAACCGCUGUCUUCUUUCUUCUUCUCGGCUGACUGUUCUUUCUUACUGCUGGUGACAGAUCUGACGGAGUGUUGGGUGGCUCGCCGGGCGGUGGCGCUGUCGUCCGUGAGCACCGUUGAAGGUUGUUGUUCGGCCGUCGCUGGGUUCUUUGGUUGUGGGGAAGAUCGGCGGCGUUCUCGGUGGCUGAGGGAGGGGUCGGUCAGAGCUGGAGCCACCAGCGUCUCUGCUGGAGGCGAUGAGCUGGGUCUGUCGGCGCUGGCGAUGGUCGUCUGUGGCCGCUGAAACCACGGUGGAGACGAUGGCUCUCCGAUGGUAGAGGCGCAGCUCUGCUAGUUGAAGGAGAUGAAGAGGUUGCUGUUGUUGAGAGAAUGAGAUGGUGGAAUCAGGUGGCUGCUGGGCUGUUGUUUGGUGAGGAGAGGCUGUGUAUGGCUCCGGGUUGUGGCUGUUGGCAAGCCGGCCGGAGAAGAGGAAGAAGAAAAAAUAUUCGGGGGGGGGGUUUGGGUGGUUGCUCCGGUUUUGGGAGAGAGGGUUGGGCGUGAGAUGGCAGGGGAAAGAAUGGUCGGGUCUGGUCUCUGUUUGGAUGGGGGGUGAGCGACGACUGUUUUCGGGCAGGGAGAAGAAAAAUAUUAGCGUUUCUGUUUUUUCCCCUUUUGUGUUGCCUCCCAAAAUUACCAAAAUGAACCCCCCUUAUCUUUUGACUUUUGAACCUAUAUUUAUAGGUAAAAUGUUGUCAGGGACUUCAAAUUGGUCCCUCAACUUCUUUCUUUUUGCACAUUUGAUUCUUUCUUAAUUUUUUUGUAUUUUUUGAAAACGAGCAAUAUCAACGUCGACUUAAUGAGAAAAAUCAAUGAUUUAAAAAUGACGCGUGAAAAGUCGAACGCGUUCGAAAAAACCUUUGAAAAUUAAAAUUCUUUUUAGAAGACGUUGAAAAUGCUAAAAACAUUGCAAAUAUAUUAAAAACAUAUUUGUUUUUGGAUUUUUUUUGUUUUUCACUAUUUUUGAAUUUUUCGAAAAAUUUAUUAAAAAGAUGGGUCAAAAAUUGGGUAACAACAAUUACUAUGCAACAUCAUCAACCGUUCACUAAUGCCUUGUUUCAAUUAAUACCUGGCUUAACCACUACUAAGAAACCAUUGUCUAUUUUUACCCAAACCUAUUCCUACUGUGCAGCAUCAUCAACAUCAACGGGUAUUCCUUUUCACAGUCAAGAUUUCUACCGAAACCAAUUCCCCUUUCAUCAUCAACGCACAUAUCACUGUGCAUCAUCAUCAACGCACACACAUCACGCCCAAAAAGCACAGGAAACACACAAAACACAGGAAAUGCAUAUCAGCAACUCAGCAACAUAGAUGGAAAAUCACAUCAGGUGGGUUGGGAGUCUACUGGAAGAGAAGCAAUUGAAGAAAAUGAGAGGAAGAUGAAGAGAUGGAAGGGAAUUGAAAGCAUUUGUUUUCGAUUAAAGAAAAGGAGAAAUAGAGCAUGGGUUUGCUUAGUUUUUUUCACAUAAACCAAACAAAUUGUUUUGUUUAGUUUCUGUGAAAAAAACACAGCAAACUCAAUUUCUGUGAAAAAAGCAUAGCAUGGAAAAAAUGGGUUUGGGUUUGCUGUGUAUGGGUUUGCAGUGUUUGGUUUUUGGGAAAAAUACAGGGGUUUUGGUUUUCUAUUUAUGGGUUGCCUGGUGAAGAGGUUGAUCGACAAGGAAGGAAACGGGGUCGAAGGGCGCCUUCGGCUUAAGAAAAUAAUGGUGAUUCUUUGUUGUGAUAGCAAAAGUGGUGAUUCUUUACUGUGAUAGCAACAAUGGCAAAAUAAUGGAGUUUGUCGUUUUUGUGUAUGAGUCUGUGUUUGGUUUCAGGAAAACAUUUUGGGUUUGCUGUGGUUGAUUUUUCCCAGGGGUUUGGGUUUGUUGUGGUUGAAUGGGUUGCCUUCCCAUGGGUUUCGGUUUACACAGAGCAUGGGAGCAUUGGUUGCAGUCAAAUUAACACGAUAAAUAAGGAAAAAAAUGCAGCACAAGAUUUAUGCCAUUAUUAUAACUACAAAUUAAAAAUAAAGAGGAUGAAAACAUAAGAUAAAUAAAGACAUUUGAGGAAAAAAAAAAAUUACCUAGAAGAUGAGAGAUACUUGCAAUUGAUCAGUGUAAAUUAUUUCGGAGAGAAAGAGAGUUUAAGGAUUUGUAUUUUGGGACCGGAAACACUUUUUGUCAAUAAAGAAAAGUAAAGUGUUUUCUUUAAAAUAAAAAAAGGAAAACACUUUCCUGUCAUAAAGUUUUAUUUCUUUAAUUGAUUGGAAUUGAGUUUUCUUUGACUGAUUUUUCUUAUGCUUACCAAAUAUGAAAAAGCAGAGGAAAUAAUUUCCAUGAAAAUAAAUUCCUCAAAACAAACAAGGUUUUGAUUUUUUACGUGGUUCCUUUCAGUUGAAUAAAUGGAACAUACAACAACGAAAGCUGCCUUGAUCGUGCAAUGUGUAAUUUCAUAGAUUAGAUUUUGGACCUGGUCCACGUCAAAAAAACAAUAUUCAUAAACAAGAAAGUAAAAUUAGGCUUCAUCAUGGUUGAGUAGAAAAAUUUGAAAGAAAAUGAUUACAAAUAAGAGAAUAAUAAUAAUAAAAAAAAACUAGCACCACAAUCUUAUUAUUUAAAGCCUGGUUUUCUUCAAGAACUUCCCUCGUACAUGACAACCUUGUAUUUCUGAUGUCGUGUAAUGAUCUACACCAGGAGGAAUGUCAUCAGAGGGAAUUAGGAGAAGGAAUACCAAUGCCUAUGUUCCUGUUGAGCAAUGAAGAAAUAUAUGAUCAUAUUAGUCUACCAUUGCAUGGAGAUACAAGUCGUUCAUCAGCCACGGCCCAAUAUUUCCAUCUUGAUGGAUCUGUAAUGAAUGGGAACAAAAUAGCACGGUCCAAAAUUAAACCGAGUCCUGAAAUACAGAGACUGAAAAUCCUGUGCAGCCUAAAACUCACAUUUCAGCAACUCAAGGAGCCCUCAACAUACGUUGCAGCUUACAUCAGGAAAUUGUCUGCCUGAUUCAAGUACCAAUAGCUUCUAGGUUCCUGGGACAAAAAAAGAAUAGGUCAUGGAAGUGUACAAAAUUCAAAAAAAUCUAAAAACUGCUCUUAUCCAGAACAUUAAUUUGAACAAUGAGUAUAUCGGAAUAGAGGCAUAAAAAAGAAUAGGUCAGAUCGGUGACUUAAUACUUCAUUGCAUUACCAGGAACUUCCCCUCUUAUAUUUUUUACUCGGUAAGAAGUGAUGCAUGGCUUAUCCCUCAACGUCACACCACCUGUUUACCACAUCCACAUACCAGUCUCAGAUGCCUUUCUCAAUACAGAAGAAUAAAUUACAGAAAUUAAGGAGGGGAUUUGAAUCUUACUGUUUUUUUUGCUCACGCCACUUCUCAGUACUUCCAUACCAAUUCCAUUGGAAGCACAGAGCAGCAACCACCUCAACAAAUGCCAUCAGGCACGAUCUCUGAGGGGAUUAACCAGCGGUCGCGAUGGACAGUAAGAUUCCCUCAAAGUUGCAAGGGAUUAUGAAACUACCAGAUUUAACACCGUCUAAAGCUUUCUUUGCAACUCCGUCGGCUUUCAUUGCGCCAGAGGAGGCCGCUAUAAUACAUGUAAACUGUGGUUUUCUUUUGUUUUCUGCAAUGAAUGUCCACCUUUUAGUUCCUGAGAGCAAUUCAGUUACAGCAGAACAGAGUCCUCCAACAUUUGAUGUAGAUGCGUAUAUAACAAUCACAACAUAUAAUAAAGACCACACAUUCAUAGGCACAGAGUCCAUCACAACUUAAUACCAUUCCAUCUGACUUUGGUGCUUCAAAGCGUCCGCCUCGCAAUAAUUUCGCAACAACACCAGAUGGUUUCAACUUUUCAUUAUUAACAAUCCUUUUAUCCACCCGCAUGUCACUCACUAGUGCCCGCACUAUCUCAGAGCGGCAAUACAUUGCAGCCAAGUGCAAAGGUGUAUUUCCAUCGUAAUCCUUGUCAUUUAUAAGUGCUUCCAGAUCUCGAUUUCCUAAUAUUUCUUCCACUAAUUUCAUCUGUCCACUCUUCGCUGCAACAUGAAGAAUAUUCUGUACUUUUUCGUUGAGAAAAUCCAUUGGAUCGAACCAUUAAGCAAGUAGUUCGCGAACUACUUCAAGAUGGCCCUUCUGGCAUGCAACAUGGAUGGGUAAGUUGCCUUCUUCGUUUCUUUGUGAUGCGGCAACAGGACAUCGACGAACCAGGAGUCUUGCUCCAGAAAGGAAGCCCAUGGAUGCUGCAAGAUGAAGGAGAUUUCCCCCUUUUUUGUCCUUGAGAAGCAUUAUAUCCGGCUUGCCUUCCUCUAGUUUUUCUAGUGCAGCAUAAUUUUAAAAUUAGAUCAUCAAUACAAAAAACACAAAAUGCAUGGAAAUAACUUGAAUUUUAUGCUUUAACAUAAAAUGAAAUUAUGAAGAAUCAGUUUUAAUGAGACCGAUAAUUAUAAGUGUGACAUGUUAUUUUUCACGUCCAAUGAUGAAAACAUGUGAUUACCUAAAUUUCCUUCAGCAUAGCUUCUAUAAAAGAAGCAAAUCAUCUCCUCGUCGCAACUCUCUACUGCCAAGUACAACGGAGACUUGUCUUCCUUUUCUUGAGGUAGGAUUCUAGGUCUUCCUUUUUCCUGGGUUUUUUCGUUCGUUUCGUCCUCUCUGCGUUUGCUUGCUUUCCCCUGCUUUUGUUUCCCCCAGUUCGUCCUAGUUCGUUCCUCCUGGUGUGCUCUGUGUGUCUUGUUCCCCUGUUGUUUCUGUUCGUGGGUUUUCUCUGUUCUUUUCGUUCUCUCCGUUCUCCUCUGGUUCUCUCGGUUUGCUCUCAGUCCUCUGGCCUUCCUCCUCUUCGUCCUUAGUUCGUCCUUCUCCUUGAUGUGAUGAUUGUUAUUUCACAAAAACAUAAGAGAUAUAAAAAUAAAUAAAGAUAUCAAAUAAACCAACCUUUCGAUGAGAGAAGGCUUUACCUCAAAAUGAACAUAAUUAUUAAUUAAAGAACUCUAAAACGAGUGGGAAAGUACUGUAGCUUUCCCCACGGUUUUCCCUGCCAAGACAUAUCAUCUCUGCCACUAAAUAUAUUAUAACUGUGUAAGUUUUCUUCUUUUUUUUUCUUCUGUCAACGACAUCAUGAUGGGGUUUCUGAAAUACUUUCAAAAAUUAGACUGUUGUUGUUUUCUUUCCGUGUAAUUGGGUCUUCUUUUCCUUCUAUCAAGGGAACUGACAUCUUAUCACCUUUAAAAUAAUAAAAAGGCGUAGAGAAUGUCAGGCUGCAUUAAAUGCUUUCAGGCUCCGUUUAGAUAAAGUCAAGCUGGCCAAUCUUUGGCAUCAUCUCCGUUUUCAUUGUUUCCUUUUCCAUUUCGGUUGGCAUUUCUGUUAUUUGAUCACAUUGUCACCUCUUUUUUUCCCCAGCCAAAACCCACACUAGCAAUCAACAUCCACUACACUAGCAAUCAACAUCCACCGUCGUUUUUCUGCCUUCUCCAGUGGCUGAAAUGGAUCACCAGCACCUCCACCGUCAACCACCAGCAGCUCCACCGUCGACCACCAUCCUCGCGACAGUCCAGCAACAGCAGCAAGUACCUCCCCCAGACCAGGUUGCUUCUUCUCUUCUUGCUUUUCCACGCAAAUCAUGCAUGAAUACUGUAAAAAAAAAAACCAACGAACCCUGUAGAAUACAUGAGUAAUUAAUUACCUGUUGCUUGCAAUCUGUUUUGCCAAAGGAAAUAGCCAUUUAGUUAAUUAUUAAUUUGUAAUAAUGAUGAGCAAUUGGUUACAUAUAUUUGGUGUUUUUUUUUUUUUUUUUAAACCCUUUGCAAUCCGGCUCAAUCUAAAAUCAUGUUCUCCAAAAGAGGGGCAACGAAGCAAAGUCUUCUACAGCAAUCAACUUUUAAAAAUACGUUCUCAAACUCGGUUCCUUCUCCUCCUUCGCAGAUCGUCGCCUUCGUCAGAACGCAGACCACUGGAUCGAAGCCGCACGGUCCCUUCUUUGCUUCUGCGUCGGCGGUGACCUCCACCGCUUCUCAAGGAAUGAGAUCUAGCUGCCGUAAAGUUCAGCCUACUCUUUCCUUCAAAUCUUCUCCGCCGGUGGAGAUCUACCUUCACCUGAAACAAAAGAAAAAGGCAAACCCAAACAGCAAUUGGUUUUAAUUAAUUUGUUUACAAGUCUGUUCUUGGUUCUUUCUUAGAGCUGGCGGCGUUGUGAAAUGAAGAACGGGCGGCUACGGUUGAAGGACACCGUGGGUCUGUCGCCGGCUAAGAGCUGUUGCUGGAGGCGGCUGUGCAGGGGAGCCGGCCUGUUUGGUUGAGAGUGAGAGGGAAAAUGGAAGCUGCCAGUCGUGAGGCAGAUCGGAGGAAGAGCGGUAGUUGUGGUCGGUUUUGUAAGGGAGAGGGGGCUGUGAGCGGGUGAAGGGAACCGAAAAUCAACAAGUUGGGCGAAAAUCAAAAAGUUGGGGGGCCUGAUAUUGAAAGAAAGAAAACGAAACGGCAGGCUGACUGAAACCGCAUUGAUUAACGAAUAAGCAUGUUCUCUUUAUUUCUGAUUAACGAAUUGUUUAAGACAGGAUUAGAUAAUGAUUAAUAAUUAAUUAGAACAUGCACAUGGGGAUCUUGCCUUGAAUGAAGCAAAAGCUUCGAUAUAUAAUGGAUGACUCCGUGUUUCAUGGACCCCUCACCAAGCUUGGAUGAAUCGGGCAUAUUAAACAAACAAGUAUUACUUUUGAGGUCUUAAAGUAAUGGAUGAAUUGAGCUUUGAUUGAAGCUUGGAUUAUAUUAUAUUAUAUUUAUUAAGACCUUUUGUUAUUUGAGUGCAGGACCGUUUUUGAUGAAUGGACAAAUUAAUAAUGAUAAUUAUGUAUUAAAAUAUCACAAACGGUAUUAAAAGAGCUUAAUUAAUUCUUUUUAGGUGGUAGCUUGAAUAUUAAUUUGGUGUUCCUAGAAAGUGGAUAGAUAGCACGCCUGUAUUUUUUCCGAUUCAUUUUUUAUAAAUCUUGAGCUGAACAAUUCUUUGUGACAAAUCAAGCCAUGAAAGCUGUAUAUGAAUUAACUUUGUGGCGCAGCGUGUACAACGAUAAACAGGAUAAUAUAAUUUAUUGAUACCGUAUGAAAUUAAACUUUGUCUCUGGUGAGGUUGUAAGGUUGUGUAUGAUGGUUUUUUUAAGAAUAUUUGAGAAUAUAUUAAAAAUAUUAAUUUAAUAUUUUUUUCGAGUAAAAACAAAUAUUGUAAAAAGUAAAAUUCGUCCACGUAAACAAACACCCGAAGUCUGUAAUUUUGUUAGUGUUUGAUAUAAAAAUAAAUAUAAAAGGACUUAAACCUUUUUAAAUCAGAUGGACACUCGAGAAACAUAUUAUUUUUGUUUUUAUUGGAAAGAUUGAUCAAAAGCUAAUUUAAAAAAAUAUUUUUACUUUUGGAUCAAAAUCAUGCCCUAUCAUAGGAUUUUAUUAGCUAAUAUAAAAAUAAGCAUGCCCUAGAGAAAGGGAAAAUGAAAAAUAUUAAUCAUAUCCACAUCAUAUAUAUAUAUAUACUAGCCUUGGUACCCGCGCUAUGCUGCGGGUCAUUUUUUUUAUAUAAAAAUAUUAAAAAAAAAUAAAAAUUAAAAAAUCUUGGGUUUUUUUGCAAGGUCAUCCCAAGAAUCUUGGGUUUGGCUGCAACGCCUUACCUAAAAAUAAUAUUAAUAAUAAAAUUAAACUUGCAUGAUACAAGUUUAAAUGAGCCUAAUUGCAACACCGGACUAAAGAAUUUUGGAUGUGGGUCUGGCUAUAAGGUCGUGUUAUAAAAGUGUGAUAAUUAAAUAAAUUAAUUAAAAAAAACAAAGAAAAAAAAUCAACAGAAAGAGAAAAACUAAUGAAAAAAAAAGAAAAAGAAAUUAAAUUAAUUAGGUUAACCCUUUCAUGGAAGUUUGAUAACUAAAUAGAAUUUAAUUUUUUUUAAUGAAUUUUUUUGUUUGAUUUAGUUUGUUAAUGUUAUAUUUAUUUUUUUAGUUAUCAGAUUUAUAAGAUUAAUAAUAUUAAUAAUAAAAUUAAACUUGCAUGACCCAAGUUUAAGUGGGGUGGCUGCAAUACCAGAUCCAAUAGUCUUGGAUGUGGGUCUGGCUGCAAGGUCGUGUCAUAAAAAUGUGAUAAUUAAAUAGAUUGAUUAAAAAGAAAAAAAAACUAACAGAAAAAAAAAACUAAUGAAGAAAAAGAAAAAAAAUGAAUUAACUGGAUUAACCCGUCAAAUCUGGAAUUCGCAUCAUGAAAGUUUGAUAACUAAAUAAAUGACUAUUGGAUCUGGUAUUGCAGCCACCCCACUUAAAUUUGGGUCAUGCAAGUUUAAUUUUAUUAUUAAUAUUAUAAAUCUGAUAACUACAAAAAUAAAUAUAACAUUAACAAACUAAAUCAAACAAAAAAAUUCAUUAAAAAAAAUUAAAUUCUAUUUAGUUAUCAAACUUCCAUGAAAGGGUUAACCCAAUUAAUUUAAUUUCUUUUUCAUUAGUUUUUCUCUUUUUGUUGAUUUUUUUUCUUUGUUUUUUUUAAUUAGUUUAUUUAAUUAUCACACUUUUAUAACACGACCUUAUAGCCAGAUCCACAUCCAAAAUUCUUUAGUCUGGUGUUGCAAUUAGGCUCACUUAAACUUGGGUCAUGCAAGUUUAAUUUUAUUAUUAAUAUUAUAAAUAUUACUUUUAGGUCAGGCGUUGCAGCCAAACCCAAGAUUCUUGGGAUGACCUUGCAAAAAAACCCAAGAUUUUUAAAUUUUUGUUUUUUUUUAAUAUUUUUAUACAAAAUAAAUGACCCGCGGCAUAGCGCGGGUACCAAAACUAGUACUAUAAUAAAACUCAUUCAAUAAACCACAAGUGACGGACGAAUUGUUCAGUAUUGUAGCACAAAUUACCGUAGACUAUGAAUGUUUUCACUGUAGACCGUAUUAUUUUGAGUUUAGUUUUUUCUAAAAGUACUAUUGGUUGGGGAGGCGUAACAGUAGAGGCUACCCUUGGAUCAAAGAAUUGCAAAUACUACAGGGUUGGGGUUGUUUUUUUUUUUUUUUUGAUUGAGGAGAAAAUAAUUAUUUUGGAUUUUAGUGGGGUAGCACGAUUUAAGUUGUAGAUAUCUAGCACUUGACAUGACUCAGAUAACAAACUUCUAGUGCUAGGGCCAGCUAGUGAGCCUGACAAUAACACCUGGCACUGAGGUUGUUGUGCCCUAGGCGUUAGGUAACCGCACACCAUGCUGAAGACCUGACGAGCAGGUCUGCAAGCCCGUGCACAUAAUAUAAAGGAAAAAUAAAUUAAUAUUAUUUUUUUAUAUUAUAAAAAGGUUGAGUGAUGAUAAUUAUUUUUUUUAAAUUAAAUUGAAUAUCCUAAUUAAAACAUGUUUGGUUCUGUGUUGCAUAGCGUUGGGCUAUUGAUGUAGUAAUCACUACCACUUGUUUAAUUAGGAUCAGUGAAAACUAAUUUUUAGUCCUCACUUCUUGUUUUUUUUUGUUAUUGUUUAAUAAAAGUAGUUCAUUCCUUGAAUUAUAACGAAAAUAUUUUAUAAUUAUGCAAAUAAAAAAUUUUCCUUUUUCUUGUUAUAUCGUAAUUACGAUAUUUAAUCUAUUUUUGUGUAACAUUGUUAAGACAUUAUUUGUUAAUUAUUUUUUUUUAACUUCAACCAUUAUUUUAUUUUCCCCCCCAGCAUUUUAGAAAACACCCUAGAGAUCGGGAAAAAAAGAAGAAAAGAGUAUGUUAUAUUAACAGCUCCAUGCCCGUGUAAUGCUUGUGUUAGCAAAUGGGUGGUGCUAGCUCCAUUCGAGUGGCAUUUCUCAGCGACCGAAUACUAGUUUUUGUUGUGUCAUUAAAAGUACUACAAUAUACUCUUUCUCGACAUGUGAUGUUACUGGGGGUAGCGAUAUGAUGUUGGUGACCUUUUUAUCUUUUCAUCCUAUUUUAUUUUUUUUUCUUUUAAAAAUCAUGUUAGCCAUGUGAAAUUUCAAAGUUGUCCUCUAAUUUAUUUAAUUUAUUGAAAUGUCAAAUUCAUCAUUUAUUCUUGAUUUUUUAUUUUUGUUUUUGGUCAUUUUGUGAAAUUUUGAGUUAUUUUUAAUUUUAUCUUUCAAUCUCAAUUUAUUAUAUAUUAUGUUUUUUCAAUUUAGUACUCAUUUUUUUGAUAGUUUUAUUUUUUGAGUCUUUUUGUUGAAUUAAAUUUCUUUUUAAUUUCACCCUUCAAUCAAAAAUACAAUUUAUUUUUUAUUUUAAUUUUAAUUCUCAUUCCUUCAAUUAUUAUUUUUAUCUUUCUAUAUAAUUGAUUUUUCAUUUUUAAAUUUUAACAUUUGAUUAGUUGUGAAUUAUACUAUUUUUUUAUCCAAUUUCUUUAUUUUAUAUUUAAUGGGUCGGAAAUUGAGUCACAUUAUUUAUUCUCUUUUAAAAUAAUAUUUUUUCAAGUUAUCAUGAUCAUUUUUUCUUAAUUUGUUCUAUAUACUCUAGCUCAUUAUUUUUUUUAUUAUUUAAUUAAAAUAAAACAAAUCUAUUUAGUCUAGUCUAUAACUGGUCUAUCAUUCAUUUUUCUCUAUGCUUUAGAACAUUAUGUUUUAUAUGAAAGAAAAGGAAUCCAGCCCCACAUCAUAGCUCAGGUCCACGACUAGUACAUACUAUAUUUAUCAAAAACGCACGCGAUUAGUUGUUGUCAAACUAUUUAGUGCUAAGAAUUCGAAAGUCAAGUACCCUGCAACAUGGAAGAACUCUGAAGAGACACACCAGUGACAUGUAUGUUCUGCUCUAUAUAUAACCAAAGUCGUUACAAGAGAGAAGAGAAAGAGCUUAAUAUCUAUUUGUUACAAGAGAUACAAAUUACAAAAGAAGACAAAAUACUUAUUUUGCACCUGAAACUAUCAAUCUAAAGGUCAAAAAAUAUUGGGUAAGAACAAAACAGACUUGGAAUGUGAUGAUGCCUAUGAAAUAUCUAGUGUGUUCUUGCUGCGUCAUUGCCAGGAUGAAUGUAAAUGCUAAACCCAUGCAGAGAAGGGAGUAAAAAUUACAAAAUGUCGCCUUCUUCAUGCUUGAUGUUACAUCACUGGCACGACCUAAUGAUAUCUGACAAAGGAUUAUAGCGGCGACGAGGGAGAAAUUCAUAGCUAGCAUGUCAAAAUAAAUAUAAGCUCUCAUCAGAGUUUUUGAACUACCACUGUUAAGAUCACGACCUGAUCCAGAACUACCACUGUUAAGAUCAAGACCUGAUCCAGAACUACCACUGUUAAGAUCACGACCUGAUCCAGAACUACCACUGUUAAGAUCAAGACCUGAUCCAGAACUACCACUGUUAAGAUCACGACCUGAUCCAGGCACAGUGAUAGCACCAGCGAAGGUUACUCCAGCUACCAGUACUGACACCACGAGAAGAUUCCCUACCCUUCUGUUCAGUUCCUCCGUCGUUAACGUCGUUCUUGGUAAAUCACACUCAGUCUUAUCAUCUGCCUCCACCAAAACUUUAAAUACCUUACGCUGAACAACAAAGUGUUAAUUAGAAAAUAUAUGGUAAUUCAUCGCUAUUGAGUAGAUCAGCGAGGCAUUCCAUAUUUUCUUUUGAAGUUAGAUUUGUACUCUUGAGGAUGGAUGAAGGAAUGGGUAUACACAAGAGUUAAAUGGUUGACAACACAAGUAGUCAAUAUUAGAAAAAAAAUUGAGGACAAAGAGCGAAACCUCAUUCUACAAGCCAUUGGUGCAAACAGUUCUAGUUAAAAGGAUAACUUUAGGUUUAAUCUUACUGGAUAGAAUAAAAGGUUUUGAAAGGUAACGAGGCAUUGGUGAUGGAAAGUAAUCUAGGAAAUAAAAUUAUGAUUGUCAUGGGAGGAACAUGGCAUAAGGAGGUAGAUUUGAUAUAAAUAACUCUAUUUGAGAUUCUAGAUCUAGAGUGGAAUACAAUGAUAAUAAAUAUUUUAAUUGUCAUUGCAAAGGCCAUGUUUGGUAUCAUUGUGAGAAGAUGAAAGCCGCCUUAGAAGAAUUACGAGAAAUCUAGAGAUGUUACGAAAACCAUGAAAGAUGGGAGUAAAGAUGAUGAUGUUCUCAUGGAUCAUAAAUGUAAUUAGGUUUUGAAAAAUUCAUGGAUUGUAGAUUAUGCAUGCUCCUUUCAUAAACAUUAUUUAAAGAAAUAAUGUUUUGAUACUUACAAAGAAUAUGAUGGAGAUUCUAUAGCGCUAGAAAACCCUUUGUGAUGUUAGUCACAUGCCAAGACUUAAAAGAAAGAAAGUUUGUGAAACCGAAAAUCUUACCAUUUUGCGAACUACUGCUUCCUGCGAUUUGUUCCAUACACCUCUCGCAGCAUCAUCCUCAUGCUUGGUAUCGAUUCGCUUGCUCUGACCAAGGACAAGGAAAGACAGUAUUGGGUUAUGAAAAUAAAUAUAAAAUCAAUUUUUAUAUAAAUUUUUUUUCAUAUUCAUUUUUUUUCUCAUUUUUAUUAUUUUUAUAUAAAAUAAAAUAAAAAUAGUGAAAAAUUGGGUUAUGAAAAUAAAUAUAAAAUCAAUCACCAUCAUCAUUACCAUCACAUCACCAUCACUUGUUAUUAGGGAUUUUCUUUGAUGGCUCAAAUAGAAAAAGACCUUAAACAGUUAUGAUAGGCUUGUAGACUUAAAAUAACAUAUAUAAAAUAUGUGUUCCAUAUGCAAGAUUCUUUCGACCAUGUUUUGAGAAUAGACCUAGAUGUGGUGCCAUAAUUUUGAUUUCAAAGCUACUAUUGGCUUUUAGAAUCUUUGUACAAAGCUCAUAACUUAGUUUAGAAUAAACAUACAAGCCAGGAAAAGCUCUAUCUAGGUGUAAGGGUACUAUACUACCUAAUACAAAGGGUAUCACAACAAGAGAAUAAGAGAACAACCUAGAAGGAUGAACCAGAAUGGCAGGACUGUUAUUCCCCUGUUGCUUCUCAAAGAAAUAGAGGAACGCGUAAGAACCAAAGAAGAUAGGGACAAAAAAGAAAGAACAAACACGGGGAAGAAGGACUAAGGAGCACAUAACAGAGGAAACCAGAGGAGAAAGCAAAUAAAAAAUAGAAAGAAAGAGAAGAGAAUCUUCCAAAGCUAGUGUUAUUCCCAGUCUUUCGCCUCCAACAAUGUUUGCAGAUUAGGUAAGUUUUUUGUUCUCUCCUCUUUUAUUUUUCAUUACAAAGUCAUUGUGCAGCUUGAAUUUAAUUAAUCCUUCACUGUGCACACACGUGUUGCAUGUGCCUCCUGCUGGCCAGCCGGGUCAGAAUAGCAGGAUUGUUAUUCCUUGUUGCUUCUCAAAGAAACAAAGGAAUGCGUAAGAACCAGAGAAGAUAGGGACGAAAAGAAAAGAACAAACACGGGGAAGAAGGACUAAGGAGCACAUAACAAAGGAAACCAGAGGAGAAAACAAAUAAAAAAUAGAAAAGAAGAGAAGAGAAUCUUCCAAAGCCAGUGUUAUUCCCAGUCUUUCGCCUCCAACAACGUCUGCAGAUCAGGUAAGUUUUUCGUUCCCUCCUCUUUCAUUUUUCAUUACAAAGUCACUGUGUAGCUUGAAUUUAAUUAAUCCUUCACUGUGCACACACGCAUUGCGUGUGCCUCCUGCUGGCCAGCCGGGUCAGAAUAGCAGAAUUGUUAUUCCCCUGUUGCUUCUCAAAGAAACAGAGGAAUGCGUAAGAACCAGAGAAGAUAGGGACGAAAGAGAAAGAACAAACACGAGGAAGAAGGACUAAUGAGCACAUAAUAGAGGAAACCAGAGGAGAAAGCAAAUAAUAAAAAAAAAGUAGAAAAAAUAAAAAAAUAAAAAAUAUGUAUACAUGAAUAAAAAUAAUAUAAAUUUAUUGGUUUAUUCAUUGACGCCAGAGUCAAGAAUAAAAAUACCGGUUUAAAUUUAUAUUAUUUUUAUUCAUUGUAUUUUAUUUUAUUUAGCUAGUAAAAUAAAAAAUAUGUUCAUGCAUAAAACUAAAUUUAUUUUUAUUUAUUUAUUCACUGAUGUUAGAGUCAUAAAUAUUGAUCUAAAUUUAUUUUAUAGCUACGUAAUAUUUACCAAUGCCAGAGUUGGAAGUAUCCGUAGUUGAAUAUUCACUAGCACCAGAGUCAGGAAUAUUAUAAGCAAAUUAUCAUGGCAUAAACCAAUAAACGUUUAACAAUUAAGACAAAACCAGCAAUGUAGUUUGCCUCAGGCAGGACGUUUAAGGGGUGAUAAUAUCUUUCCUUUUACGUAACCAGUCUCGAACCAUAGAAUCUCUAUUGACCAGUUAGGGUUCCUAGUUACCAUAAUAUUAGGUGACGACUCUUUAAAUAAGACAUUUUCCCUAAAAGAACAAAAUGCUAGAUAUCUGUUUUAUUUUCUAUAAUCAAGAAAAAUUUUAAAGCCGCUGCGAUAUCGGGUGUGACAACAUGGCCUGAGAUAAAUUUUACUAGUAAACUAUCUUUCUCUCACACCUUACAUGCUCUUGUAAGAAUAAAAUUGUGUAAACUUAGUUCUCUUGAAAGGUAAGAAAAUUAGUGUUUAAGCUCAAAAAGGAUAAGGGACAUGAUGUUGAUACAUAUAUAACGCCAAAGUAUAAUUCAACAAAGCUUUAAAGUUUCAAUUGAUUCAAAGAAUGCCUAAAUAAUUUCUUAAGUAACAUUUUAUUCAAGAAACCAUGAGCAUCAUCAAACAACUUUUAGAGUUUGUUAAGAUCAUAUAAAUUUACAAUAUUCACAUAAAAUUUCUCUACGUACGCAGAAUAAUUAUUGAUCUUGAUGACCAUUCAUUGAAUAUAGAAAAUCUUAAAUUAAGCAAAAUCAAGUCAAGAAUUAACAAAUAGACUCAAGCAAUAAGAUAUUUUCCUGAGAACUAUAAUAAAUUUCAACCAUAAUUCUCCAUGCUUUAGAAUACAUUUUACAGCACUUUGAACAUUAUAUAUAUAAAGAAUCCAACCCCAUAUCAUAGCUCAGGUCCACGACUAGUACAUACUAUUUAUCAAAAACACAUGCGAUUAGUUGUUGUCAAACUAUUUAGUGCUAAGAAUUCGAGAGUCAAGUACGUUCUGAAUUAUAUAUAACCAGAGUCGUUACAGAGAGAAGAGAAAGAGCUUAAUAUCUAUUUGUUACAAAUUACGUGAGAUUUAAAUACAAGAUAAAAUGCCCUCCCGUUUGCAAGCUAUUCUCUACCCAUAAGAGAAGUCCGUACAUCCAUCCUUCUUUUCAUUCGAGCCAUGAAUUUAAAGGGAUUUGCACGCAGGAAAGACAAUACUGAAUUUGCAGUUGAAAGCAUCAAUCCAUAGGAACAAACUAAUUGGGUAAAAAAAAGAUAGGCUUGUAAUGUGAUGAUGGUUAUGAAAAAUCCAGUACGUUCUUGCACCGUGAUUGCCAGGAUGAAUGUGUAUGCUAAACCCAUGCAGAGAAGGGAGUAAAAAUUAAGAAAUGUCGCCAUCUCCAUGCUUGAUGUUACAUAACUGGUACGACCUAAUGACAUCUGACAAAGGAUUAUAGCGGCGAUGAGGGAGAAAUUCAUAGCUAGCAUGUCAAAAAAAAUAUAAGCUCUCAUCAGAUUUUUUGAACUACCACUGCUAAGAUCAGAACCUGAUCCAGGCACAGUGAUAGCACCAGCGAAGGUUACUCCAGCUACCAGUACUGCCACCACGAGAAGAUUCCCUACCCCUCUGUUCCGUUCCUCCGUCGUUAACGUCGUUAAAUCAAAGUUAAGAUUGAUGUCAAACUCAGUCUUAUCACCUGCCUCCACCAAAACUUUUAAUACCUCACGCUGAACAACAAAGUAUUAAUUAGAAAAUAUAUGGUAAACAAAAUAUAUAAAGCAUCAUGACAAUGUUAGCUUAAUGUCCAAUAAUAACGAAGAAGGAAUUCAUCGCUAUUUAGUAGAUCAGUGAGAUAUUCCAUAUUUUUGAGCAAGUAAAGAACUUUAUUUCCAUUUUGGAUUAAUCAAAUUUAAGGUAAUUAAAAGAAAUCUAUCAUUCCCGUUCCGUAAAGUUGCUACUAGAAUAUAUUUUGGAUAAAAUGUGGAUGUAAAAGUUUUUGCUAUACCAGAAUAUAUUUGCGUCCAUCACUUGAUUAGCUUCUUAUGUGGACCCAAACGGCUAGAAUACUAAGUAAUUUGACUUAAAGGAAAUUUUUUGUGUCUUCUCUUGUUCUACAGGUAUAAAAAAA
rnacentral:lncRNA from 1 species